rnacentral:tRNA from 1 species
GGGGUUGUAGCUCAGUGGUACAGCACUUGCCUGUCAUGUGUGAGGCACUGGGUUCAAAUCCCAGCAUCACAU